rnacentral:rRNA from 1 species
GACGAACGCUGGCGGCGUGCCUAACACAUGCAAGUCGAACGGAAAGGCCCUUGUUUUGUGGGGUUGUCGAGUGGCGAACGGGUGAGUAACACGUGAGUAACUUUCCUUUAGUUUUGGGUUAACUUCAGGAAACCGGGGUUAUUACCCGUAAGGGCGACCGGCUGCAUGGGGGGGGUUGGAAAGUUUCGGCGGUUGGGGAUGGACCCGCGGCUUAUCAGCUUGUUGGUGGGGUAGUGGCUUACCAAGGCUUUGACGGGUAGCCGGCCUGAGAGGGUGACCGGCCACAUUGGGACUGAGAUACGGCCCAGACUCCUACGGGAGGCAGCAGUGGGGAAUAUUGCACAAUGGGCGGAAGCCUGAUGCAGCAACGCCGCGUGCGGGAUGACGGCCUUCGGGUUGUAAACCGCUUUCGCCUGUGACGAAGCGUGAGUGACGGUAAUGGGUAAAGAAGCACCGGCUAACUACGUG